rnacentral:rRNA from 1 species
CUACGGGGCGCACCAGUGGGGAAUAUUGCACAAUGGGCGCAAGCCUGAUGCAGCAACGCCGCGUGAGGGAUGAAGGCCUUCGGGUUGUAAACCUCUUUUAGCAGGGAAGAAGCGAAAGUGACGGUACCUGCAGAAAAAGCACCGGCUAACUACGUGCCAGCAGCCGCGGUAAUACGUAGGGUGCAAGCGUUGUCCGGAAUUAUUGGGCGUAAAGAGCUCGUAGGCGGUUUGUCACGUCUGCUGUGAAAAUCCAAGGCUCAACCUUGGACUUGCAGUGGGUACGGGCAGGCUAGAGUGCGGUAGGGGAGAUGGGAAUUCCUGGUGUAGCGGUGGAAUGCGCAGAUAUCAGGAGGAACACCAAUGGCGAAGGCACAUCUCUGGGCCGUAACUGACGCUGAGGAGCGAAAGCGUGGGGAGCGAACAGGAUUAGAUACCCCAGUAGUC